rnacentral:rRNA from 1 species
GACGAACGCUGGCGGCGUGCUUAACACAUGCAAGUCGAACGAUGAAGCUAGAGCUUGCUCUGGUGGAUUAGUGGCGAACGGGUGAGUAACACGUGAGUAACCUGCCCCGAACUCUGGGAUAACUGCUGGAAACGGUAGCUAAUACCGGAUAUGACCAAUGAAGGCAUCUUCUGUUGGUGGAAAGAAUUUCGGUUCGGGAUGGACUCGCGGCCUAUCAGCUUGUUGGUGAGGUAACGGCUCACCAAGGCGACGACGGGUAGCCGGCCUGAGAGGGUGAUCGGCCACACUGGGACGGAGACACGGCCCAGACUCCUACGGGGGGCAGCAGUGGGGAAUAUUGCACAAUGGGCGCAAGCCUGAUGCAGCAACGCCGCGUGAGGGACGACGGCCUUCGGGUUGUAAACCUCUUUUAGUAGGGAAGAAGCGAAAGUGACGGUACCUGCAGAAAAAGCACCGGCUAACUACGUGCCAGCAGCCGCCGUAA